AGACGAACCGGACGAACGUUAUUCGGAAUUACUGGGCUUAAAGAGUGCGUAGGCGGCUUGGCAGGUUGGGUGUGAAAUCCCUCGGCUCAACCGAGGAACUGCGCUCAAAACCGCCAGGCUUGAGGGAGGCAGGGGUGAGCGGAACUGAUGGUGGAGCGGUGAAAUGCGUUGAUAUCAUCAGGAACACCGGUGGCGAAGGCGGCUCACUGGGUCUCUUCUGACGCUGAGGCACGAAAGCUAGGGUAGCGAACGGGAUUAGAAACCCCGGUAGUCC
rnacentral:rRNA from 1 species